GAAGCAGUGUGUGGACAAACAAACACGAGUUAUACGAUAUAGCUCUUACAACACACGGCGUCUUAGGGUAGAGAAUAUCUCUGAUGGGUUGGAGAUCAGCCAUGGCUGCCAAAGCCCAAGGUGAGGAUGAAGAUGAUGAUCCUGAUCGUGUAGAGAGCCUGAUGAUGAUUCUCAAACCGAUCGCAUCCAUGAUUUACCAGGGCUAUUUGCCAGAGGUUUAUGCCGAUUCUGAAGGGGUACGCAGAAGAUAUAAACCGAGGCAUCAUCAUCUCAGUCGGAUAUGUCAUCCUGAGACCAAGAAAUGAGCAUAAACUGACCACCUUCGGUAGCAUGCAUACCCAACCUGGUGUGGUGGCGUUUCUGUACCAGUGAGAUUGAUGAUUGAAUACGAAGGAAGAUCGUCAUCUGGAUUUGAAAUAUAUAUGUAGAUUAGAUGUUGUUAUAUUUUUUGUAAAGCAAGAUGUAGAAAAUAUAUGAUACUAAUUUGUGUUGAAUUGUAAUCUUGUCUUGGUCCAAGACAAUUGAUCCGGCCUAUACAUAAAAAAAGAUCCAUGCACAUGCUAGAGAGUUCUAGCAAAGUUCAAGUUGA